rnacentral:rRNA from 1 species
AUUGAACGCUAGCGGGAUGCUUUACACAUGCAAGUCGAACGGCAGCGCGGACUUCGGUCUGGCGGCGAGUGGCGAACGGGUGAGUAAUGUAUCGGAACGUGCCCAGUAGCGGGGGAUAACUGCGCGAAAGCGUAGCUAAUACCGCAUACGCCCUACGGGGGAAAGCAGGGGAUCGUAAGACCUUGCACUAUUGGAGCGGCCGAUAUCGGAUUAGCUAGUUGGUGAGGUAACGGCUCACCAAGGCGACGAUCCGUAGCUGGUUUGAGAGGACGACCAGCCACACUGGGACUGAGACACGGCCCAGACUCCUACGGGAGGCAGCAGUGGGGAAUUUUGGACAAUGGGGGCAACCCUGAUCCAGCCAUCCCGCGUGUGCGAUGAAGGCCUUCGGGUUGUAAAGCACUUUUGGCAGGAAAGAAACGUCGCGGGCUAAUACCCCGUGGAACUGACGGUACCUGCAGAAUAAGCACCGGCUAACUACGUG